UAAUGCUUAGGAAUUUGCCCAGUCGAGGGGGACAACAGUUGGAAACGACUGCUAAUACCGCAUACGCCCUACGGGGGAAAGCAGGGGCUCUUCGGACCUUGCGCGAUUGGAUAAGCCUAAGUGAGAUUAGCUAGUUGGUGAGGUAAUGGCUCACCAAGGCGACGAUCUCUAGCUGGUUUGAGAGGAUGAUCACCCACACUGGGACUGAAACACGGCCCAAACUCCUACGGGAGGCAGCAGUGGGGAAUAUUGCACAAUGGGCGAAAGCCUGAUGCAGCCAUGCCGCGUGUGUGAAGAAGGCCUUCGGGUUGUAAAGCACUUUCAGCGAGGAGGAAAGGUUGAUGGUUAAUACCCGUUAGCUGUGACGUUACUCGCAGAAGAAGCACCGGCUAACUCCGUGCCAGCAGCCGCGGUAAUACGGAGGGUGCGAGCGUUAAUCGGAAUUACUGGGCGUAAAGCGCAUGCAGGCGGCCUAGUCAGUCAGAUGUGAAAGCCCCGGGCUUAACCUGGGAAUUGCAUUUGAUACUGCUUGGCUAGAGUCCUUGAGAGGGGGGUAGAAUUUCAAGUGUAGCGGUGAUAUGCGUAGAGAUCUGAAGGAAUACCAGUGGCGAAGGCGGCCCCCUGGCAAGAGACUGACGCUCAUAUGCGAAAGCGUGGGGAGCAAACAGGAUUAGAUACCCUGGUAGUCCACGCCGUAUACGAUGUCUAUUAGGAGUCUGUGACCUUGAGUCGUGAGUUCCAAAGCUAACGCAUUAAAUAGACCGCCUGGG
rnacentral:rRNA from 1 species